UAGCAGUUUUCAUCCAGCCCCUUCAGAUGAGGAAACUGAGGCCCCACGAGGCUGACUGACUUGGGCAAGGCCUCCACAAGUUAGAGCCUAGAACUCAGAACCCCCAACUCACCAAGGGUUCCCUGCCUCAGAGCAUCGGAGAAUCACCUGGCUCAACACAACUGCCAAAGAUUGUGAAAAUAAAUGAAGUAGCAGCUACUUGAAUUUUAGAAUCUACUUUCCACCAUGAGGAAUUCUUUUAAUUGAGAUAAAACUGAUAACUUGGAUCUUACGUUACUCACAAUUGAACUCUCAGGACCACAGUGAGAAAUCCAAACACAAGGCCGGCUAGUAAACCGAGGUCCAGUCCCAGAAUGAUGGAUGCUAUGCACGUAAAUACCCAGAUAACCUAGGAAAACAUGAAAAUGAAAAAUGCUAAUUCAUCGGGUACCAUGAGCAACCCCUAAUAGAGGCAGCAUGCUCCCCAAGCAGAGAGAGUGGCAGCACCACGCUCCUUCCUGGGAAACUACACUCAGCAUCUCAGCAUCUCAGCGUCUCAGCAUCUCAGCAUCUCAGCAUGGAGCCGUCAUUGCUCUGAACUGUGUUUGUGAGCACCUGUUCAUCUCAGUGUAUUUUGUGCAUCUGUUUGCAAGAUGUGUCUUAAGGUAACUGCUUCU